UGUAAAAUCAUGUUUUUAACUCUCUGAAAAAAGGUCAUCUUCUUGGUGUUACCAGAUCCUGUUAUAGGGAUAUAGGAUAUAGGUGAA